rnacentral:rRNA from 1 species
AACGAACGCUGGCGGCAGGCCUAACACAUGCAAGUCGAGCGGACAUCUUCGGAUUUUAGCGGCGGACGGGUGGGUAACGCGGGGGAACGUGCGCGUGGCUUCGGAAUAGCCUCGGGAAACUGGGAGUAAUACCGGAUGUACCCUUUGGGGGAAAGAUUUAUCGGCAAAGGCUCGGCCCGCGUUGGAUUGCGUAGGUGGUGGGGUAAUGGCCUACCAAGCCGACGAUCCAUAGCUGGUUUGAGAGGAUGCUCCGCCACACUGGGACUGAGACACGGCCCAGACUCCUACGGGAGGCAGCAGUGGGGAAUCUUAGACAAUGGGGGAAACCCUGAUAAAGCCAUGCCGGGUGAGCGAUGAAGGCCUUAGGGUUGUAAAGCUCUUUCACCGGGGAAGAUAAUGACGGUACCCGGAGAAGAAGCCCCGGCUAACUCCGUG